UUACUUACUUGGUGUCGGGCUUCCUGGUGAUCAGCGAGGUCUGUGCCACGUGCCGAGGCCUCCCAUUGCACUCUGGUUAGCUGAAGUACGCCACUUUCCCAAAGUGGGAUAGGUGGGACAUGUAAUUUUUGGUAGUGGGGCUUGGCGUGCGCGCCAGCCCAAA